rnacentral:rRNA from 1 species
UACGUAGGGACCAAGCGUUGUUUGGAUUUACUGGGCGUAAAGGGCGCGUAGGCGGCGUGACAAGUCACUUGUGAAAUCUCCGGGCUUAACCCGGAACUGCCAAGUGAUACUGUCGUGCUAGAGUGCGGAAGGGGCAAUCGGAAUUCUCGGUGUAGCGGUGAAAUGCGUAGAUAUCGAGAGGAACACCUGAGGUGAAGACGGGUUGCUGGGCCGACACCGACGCUGAGUGCGCGAAAGCCAGGGGAGCAAACGGG